rnacentral:rRNA from 1 species
CCUACAGGUGGCAGCAGUGGGGAAUAUUGGACAAUGGGGGGAACCCUGAUCCAGCCAUGCCGCAUGUGUGAAGAAGGCCCUCGGGUUGUAAAGCACUUUCAGUGAGGAAGAACGCCUGGUGGUUAAUACCCAUCAGGAAAGACAUCACUCACAGAAGAAGCACCGGCUAACUCCGUGCCAGCAGCCGCGGUAAUACGGAGGGUGCGAGCGUUAAUCGGAAUUACUGGGCGUAAAGCGCGCGUAGGUGGCUUGAUAAGCCGGUUGUGAAAGCCCCGGGCUCAACCUGGGAACGGCAUCCGGAACUGUCAAGCUAGAGUGCAGGAGAGGAAGGUAGAAUUCCCGGUGUAGCGGUGAAAUGCGUAGAGAUCGGGAGGAAUACCAGUGGCGAAGGCGGCCUUCUGGACUGACACUGACACUGAGGUGCGAAAGCGUGGGUAGCAAACAGGAUUAGAUACCCUUGUAGUC